rnacentral:rRNA from 1 species
AGUGAGGGCAUGGGUGCUAAGGUCCAUGUCCGAGAGGGAAAGAACCCAGAUCAUCAGCUAAGGUCCCCAAGUGUAUGCUAAGUUGACAAAACGCGGUAAAACUGCAUUGACAGCCAGGAUGUUGGCUUGGAAGCAGCCAUUCAUUUAAAGAGUGCGUAACAGCUCACUGGUCGAGCGGUUUUGCAUGGAUAAUAAUCGGGCAUAAGUAUACCACCGAAGCUAUGACUUUGUCUUAUGACAAGGGGUAGGGGAGCAUUCUAUGGGCAUUGAAGGUGCUGGCGUGAGCCGUGCUGGAGCGCAUAGAAACGAAAAUGUAGGCAUAAGUAACGAUAAUGCGGGCGAGAAACCCGCACGCCGAAAGACCAAGGUUUCCCCAGCUAUGCUAAUCAGCUGGGGGUCAGUCGGGACCUAACGCGAACCCGAACGGGGUAGUGGAUGGACAAUCAGUUAAUAUUCUGAUACCUGCUCACAUUAAAAGUGACGGGGAUGAGGCGUUGGUGCGAAGAGACGGAAUUCUUCGUUGAAGGUAGCGGAAGCUACUGAUAGUACACUGAGGCUUCGGCCAAGGUGAUAAUCCAGCUUAUCAUCCUCCAAGAAAAACAAGUGAAGCAGCCCGUACCGUAAACCGACACAGGUGGUUGGGAUGAGUAUUCUAAGGCGCUCGAGAGAUUCAUGGCUAAGGAACUAGGCAAAAUAGACCCGUAACUUCGGGAGAAGGGUCGCCCCCUUAUGGGGGGCCGCAGUGAAGAGGUCCAGGCGACUGUUUAUCAAAAACACAGGGCUCUGCUAAAUCGAAAGAUGACGUAUAGGGCCUGACACCUGCCCGGUGCUGGAAGGUUAAGAGGAGAUGUUAUUUUUCGGAAGAAGCAUUGAAUUGAAGCCCCAGUAAACGGCGGCCGUAACUAUAACGGUCCUAAGGUAGCGAAAUUCCUUGUCGGGUAAGUUCCGACCUGCACGAAUGGUGCAACGAUCUGGACACUGUCUCGGCCAUGAGCUCGGUGAAAUUGUAGUAACGGUGAAGAUGCCGUUUACCCGCAGUGGGACGAAAAGACCCCGUGCACCUUUACUAUAGCUUCGUAUUGACCCUGGAUAAGUAAUGUGUAGGAUAGCUAGGAGACUUUGAAGCGGCGUCGCCAGGCGUUGUGGAGUCAUUGUUGAAAUACUAGCCUUUGCUUAUUUGGGGCCUAACUCUCGAGAGAGAGAACAGUGCGUGGUGGGUAGUUUGACUGGGGUGGUCGCCUCCAAAAGAGUAACGGAGGCUUCUAA